CUUGGUGGUGGCAUUACUGCAGGGCAUUUGCGCUUUGCCUACAAUGACAGGGCCUGACAUUCAAAGCUUGGCUUCAUCCAGUUGCUUGAGGGGGGCCGAGAGUAAGUUCUUGCCUGCAAGCUGCAGCCUUGAUGCCAAAUCUUUUAAGGAAGCCUGUAUCUCAGAGAUAACGAUUUAUGGCUUUAUGCUAUGCAGUGUGAGAAACGCAUUUUCUGCUAUAAUGAGUGGAAACCUGGAUCUUCACUGCUGCUCAGGGUCUGCCUUUUUAUCUGCACUGUGUGGUUCAUGGUAUGUUUCAUCCUUCUCCUCCUUCCCCUUUUC
rnacentral:lncRNA from 1 species